rnacentral:rRNA from 1 species
GGGUUGUGAGGUUAAGCGACUAAGCGUACACGGUGGAUGCCCUGGCAGUCAGAGGCGAUGAAGGACGUGCUAAUCUGCGAUAAGCGUCGGUAAGGUGAUAUGAACCGUUAUAACCGGCGAUUUCCGAAUGGGGAAACCCAGUGUGAUUCGUCACACUAUCGUUAACUGAAUACAUAGGUUAACGAAGCGAACCGGGGGAACUGAAACAUCUAAGUACCCCGAGGAAAAGAAAUCAACCGAGAUUCCC